rnacentral:rRNA from 1 species
GGGGGGUUUGCCGGGGAGGCUAAUCGUACAAGUCGAGCGAACAGAGAAGGAGCUUGCUCCUUUGACGUUAGCGGAGGCAGUGGAGAGUAACACGUGGGCAACCUACCUUAUAGUUUGGGAUAACUCCGGGAAACCGGGGCUAAUACCGAAUAAUCUGUUUCACCUCAUGGUGAAAUAUUGAAAGACGGUUUCGGCUGUCGCUAUAGGAUGGGCCCGCGGCGCAUUAGCUAGUUGGUGAGGUAACGGCUCACCAAGGCGACGAUGCGUAGCCGACCUGAGAGGGUGAUCGGCCACACUGGGACUGAGACACGGCCCAGACUCCUACGGGAGGCAGCAGUAGGGAAUCUUCCACAAUGGGCGAAAGCCUGAUGGAGCAACGCCGCGUGAGUGAAGAAGGAUUUCGGUUCGUAAAACUCUGUUGUAAGGGAAGAACAAGUACAGUAGUAACUGGCUGUACCUUGACGGUACCUUAUUAGAAAGCCACGGCUAACUACGUGCCAGCAGCCGCGGUAAUACGUAGGUGGCAAGCGUUGUCCGGAAUUAUUGGGCGUAAAGCGCGCGCAGGUGGUUUCUUAAGUCUGAUGUGAAAGCCCACGGCUCAACCGUGGAGGGUCAUUGGAAACUGGGAGACUUGAGUGCAGAAGAGGAUAGUGGAAUUCCAAGUGUAGCGGUGAAAUGCGUAGAGAUUUGGAGGAACACCAGUGGCGAAGGCGACUAUCUGGUCUGUAACUGACACUGAGGCGCGAAAGCGUGGGGAGCAAACAGGAUUAGAUACCCUGGUAGUCCACGCCGUAAACGAUGAGUGCUAAGUGUUAGGGGGUUUCCGCCCCUUAGUGCUGCAGCUAACGCAUUAAGCACUCCGCCUGGGGAGUACGGGUCGCAAGACUGAAACUCAAAGGAAUUGACGGGGGCCCGCACAAGCGGUGGAGCAUGUGGUUUUAAUUCGAAGCAACGCGAAGAAUCUUACCAAGUCUUGACAUCCCGUUGACCACUGUAGAGAUAUGGUUUCCCCUUCGGGGGCAACGGUGACAGGUGGUGCAUGGUUGUCGUCAGCUCGUGUCGUGAGAUGUUAGGAUUAGUCCCGCACGAGCGCACCUUGAUCUUAGUUGCAUCAUUUAGUUGGGGCACUCUAAGGUGACUGCCGGGUGGACAAACCGGGAAGGAAGGUGGGGGAUGGACGUCAUCAAUCAUGGCCCUUAUGGACUUGGCCUUAACCACGUCUACCAUUGGACCGAAUAACAAAACGCGUGGC